rnacentral:tRNA from 1 species
GCCCCUGUAGCCCAAUCGGCAGAGGCAGCCGACUUAAAAUCGGCACAGUGUGGGUUCGAGUCCCACCGGGGGCA